CACAACCUCAAAAUAUUAACCAAAUGGCAAAGACCAGCAUCUCAAAAUCUCUCUUCGUCAUCCUUUUCAUUGUGCUACUUUUCUCAGGUAUUUACUUUUUCAAAGGCGAAUUUAUGAUAAAUAUAUUCUUACUUUUAAUUUAAGUAUCAAUACUUCUUUUAAAUCUAUUUCAGAAAUAAUGUAUUUUUUGUUAUAUUUGAUAACUUUUUAAAUUCAAGCGUUUUACUUUGGAUCGCUUUAAAUCACAAGAUGUAAAAGACAUUUUGCGCCACAUGCAUGAGUCAUAUUUAAUUAUAAAAUUACAAAAUUUAAAGUCUCAUUUUUUUAAAAAAAAACUUCAUGUAUAGUCAAUGUUUUCUUUCUUUUUGUACUUGAAUUUGUUGCGUCUGAGUUUAAAAAUAAUUUUUUCACCUUCACGAGGUAGUGAUAAAGUCUGAAUAUACUUUAUUUUUUUUGAAUUUUACUGGAUAUGUGGUAGUUGUUAUUGUCGUCGUCUGGUGAAACUAAGACACUUAACUUGAAACGAUUGAAGUAAAAUAUUACUCCCCUGUCUCAUUUUAUAUAUCGUUAUUUUCGUUUUAGUCCGUCCCAAAAAGAAUGUCACAUUUCCUUAUUUGAUAAUUAUUUAAUGACAUCAUUCUUAUUUUAUCCUUAGUGGUCCCAUUUAUUAAGAAAAGAUAAUUAAAAAGUAAUAUUAAGAGAGACAGUUUUGUAAAUUUUACAAAGUCAUCACUUAUUUCUUAAAUUUCGUGCCCAAUCAAAUAACUACAAAUAAAAUGAGACAAAAAUAGUACUGGUUAUAACAAUGAUUUUGACACUAACAAAUUUUGUUGCUGCAGUUGAGGAGAUAGGGGUUGAGGCAAAAGAAUGUCAAGAAAAGCUGACGCAUAAUCAUUGUGAUUAUAGCAAAGCAGACCUGGUAUGCUUGCACGAUUGCCAAUAUAGACACGGUCAAAGUGUCAAAACCAGUUGCACCAAGUAUUGUAUUUGUACCUGGGAAUGUAAUUAAUGUCUUAAGUACUAGUUUAUACUAUAUAAAGUACACUCCUAUUCUCAAAGGUCCAUGUUUUGUUUUUGAUUCAUUUAUAAGAAAUAAUAUUUGUCGGAUGAAUUAAGAUUGAUUUUUUGCCUAUUUACAAAAUGAACUAAAAAGAAAUUCGGA
rnacentral:lncRNA from 1 species